rnacentral:pre_miRNA from 1 species
UUGAAGAAUUUGAAGACUUCAACUUACAUACAUGAAGAAUUUAAUGACUUUAACUUGCAUACUUGGAGAUUCGGAAUACUUCAUCA